rnacentral:rRNA from 1 species
GUGAAGUCGGAAUCGCUAGUAAUCGCGGAUCAGCAUGCCGCGGUGAAUACGUUCCCGGGCCUUGUACACACCGCCCGUCACACCAUGAGAGUUGGGAAUACCCGAAGCCUGUGAGCUAACUUAUAGAGGCAGCAGUCGAAGGUAGAAUCAAUGAUUGGGGUGAAGUCGUAACAAGGUAGC